rnacentral:rRNA from 1 species
AAGCGCUGGAAACGGCGUCUAAUACUGGAUACGAGUAGCGACCGCAUGGUCAGUUACUGGAAAGAUUUAUUGGUUGGGGAUGGGCUCGCGGCCUAUCAGCUUGUUGGUGAGGUAAUGGCUCACCAAGGCGUCGACGGGUAGCCGGCCUGAGAGGGUGACCGGCCACACUGGGACUGAGACACGGCCCAGACUCCUACGGGAGGCAGCAGUGGGGAAUAUUGCACAAUGGGCGCAAGCCUGAUGCAGCAACGCCGCGUGAGGGAUGACGGCCUUCGGGUUGUAAACCUCUUUUAGCAGGGAA